rnacentral:rRNA from 2 species
CUCUGGUAUUGAUUGGUGCUUGCAUCAUGAUUUACAUUUGAGUGAGUGGCGAACUGGUGAGUAACACGUGGGAAACCUGCCCAGAAGCGGGGGAUAACACCUGGAAACAGAUGCUAAUACCGCAUAACAACUUGGACCGCAUGGUCCGAGCUUGAAAGAUGGCUUCGGCUAUCACUUUUGGAUGGUCCCGCGGCGUAUUAGCUAGAUGGUGGGGUAACGGCUCACCAUGGCAAUGAUACGUAGCCGACCUGAGAGGGUAAUCGGCCACAUUGGGACUGAGACACGGCCCAAACUCCUACGGGAGGCAGCAGUAGGGAAUCUUCCACAAUGGACGAAAGUCUGAUGGAGCAACGCCGCGUGAGUGAAGAAGGGUUUCGGCUCGUAAAACUCUGUUGUUAAAGAAGAACAUAUCUGAGAGUAACUGUUCAGGUAUUGACGGUAUUUAACCAGAAAGCCACGGCUAACUACGUGCCAGCAGCCGCGGUAAUACGUAGGUGGCAAGCGUUGUCCGGAUUUAUUGGGCGUAAAGCGAGCGCAGGCGGUUUUUUAAGUCUGAUGUGAAAGCCUUCGGCUCAACCGAAGAAGUGCAUCGGAAACUGGGAAACUUGAGUGCAGAAGAGGACAGUGGAACUCCAUGUGUAGCGGUGAAAUGCGUAGAUAUAUGGAAGAACACCAGUGGCGAAGGCGGCUGUCUGGUCUGUAACUGACGCUGAGGCUCGAAAGUAUGGGUAGCAAACAGGAUUAGAUACCCUGGUAGUCCAUACCGUAAACGAUGAAUGCUAAGUGUUGGAGGGUUUCCGCCCUUCAGUGCUGCAGCUAACGCAUUAAGCAUUCCGCCUGGGGAGUACGGCCGCAAGGCUGAAACUCAAAGGAAUUGACGGGGGCCCGCACAAGCGGUGGAGCAUGUGGUUUAAUUCGAAGCUACGCGAAGAACCUUACCAGGUCUUGACAUACUAUGCAAAUCUAAGAGAUUAGACGUUCCCUUCGGGGACAUGGAUACAGGUGGUGCAUGGUUGUCGUCAGCUCGUGUCGUGAGAUGUUGGGUUAAGUCCCGCAACGAGCGCAACCCUUAUUAUCAGUUGCCAGCAUUAAGUUGGGCACUCUGGUGAGACUGCCGGUGACAAACCGGAGGAAGGUGGGGAUGACGUCAAAUCAUCAUGCCCCUUAUGACCUGGGCUACACACGUGCUACAAUGGAUGGUACAACGAGUUGCGAACUCGCGAGAGUAAGCUAAUCUCUUAAAGCCAUUCUCAGUUCGGAUUGUAGGCUGCAACUCGCCUACAUGAAGUCGGAAUCGCUAGUAAUCGCGGAUCAGCAUGCCGCGGUGAAUACGUUCCCGGGCCUUGUACACACCGCCCGUCACACCAUGAGAGUUUGUAACACCCAAAGUCGGUGGGGU